AAAACGCCUAAACCGUGUUCUGAUACUACUAAAUAUGACACUCCUAGCCCAUCUACAAUGUAGUCAAGCAAAGGAUGUCACACUCAGUGCCGGAGCAUUUUUAACCUACCUUAUUACAAUUCUCAGAACUUAAUUUAUUUAUUAAAAAGCUCUCAAGUGAAGUCUAUAUCACAAAUUAAAAUUUUAAUUAAUUUGAAAUUACAAAAUUUUUACAGAAAA
rnacentral:misc_RNA from 1 species